rnacentral:rRNA from 1 species
UACGUAGGGUGCGAGCGUUGUCCGGAAUUACUGGGCGUAAAGAGCUCGUAGGCGGUUGUCGCGUCUGCUGUGAAACCCGAGGCUCAACCUCGGGCCUGCAGUGGGUACGGGCAGACUAGAGUGCGGUAGGGAGAUUGGAAUCCUGGUGUAGCGGUGAAUGCGCAGAUAUCAGGAGGAACACCGGUGGCGAAGGCGGUCUCUGGGCCGAUACUGACGCUGAGGAGCGAAAGCGUGGGAGCGAACAGG